rnacentral:rRNA from 1 species
GACGAACGCUGGCGGCGUGCCUAAUACAUGCAAGUCGAACGCUGAAGGAGGAUCUUGCUUCUCUGGAUGAGUUGCGAACGGGUGAGUCAUGCGUACGUAACCUGCCUGGUAGCGGGGGAUAACUAUUGGAAACGAUAGCUAAUACCGCAUAAUAGUAGAUGAUGCAUGACAUUUGCUUCAAAGGUGCAAUUGCAUCACUACCAGCUGGUCCUGCGUUGUAUUAGGUAGUUGGUGGGUUAACGGCUCACCAAGGCGACGAUACAUAGCCGACCUGAGAGGGGGAUCGGCCAAACUGGGACUCAGACACGGCCCAGACGACUACGGGAGGGAGCAGGAGGGGAUCUUCGGCAAUAGACGGAAGGCUGACCGAGCAACGCCGCCGGAGAGAAUAAGGGUGUCGGAUCGUAAAGCUCGGUUGUAAGAGAAGAAAGAGUGUGAGAGUAGAAAGGUCACGUUGUGACGGUAGCUUAACAGAAAGGGACGGCUAACUACGUG